AGUGAACGCUGGCGGCGUGCUUAACACAUGCAAGUCGAACGAGAACGGAAUAUAGCUUGCUAUAUUUGUCAGCUAAGUGGCGCACGGGUGAGUAAUGUAUAGAUAACCUGCCCUUAAGAAAGGAAUAACAGUUGGAAACGACUGCUAAUGCCCUAUAUGCCUUUAAUACAUAAGUAUGCAAGGGAAACGCUUUAGUGCUUAAGGAUGGGUCUGUAUGGUAUCAGCUUGUUGGUGAGGUAAUGGCUCACCAAGGCUAUGACGCCUAACUGGUUUGAGAGGAUGAUCAGUCACACUGGAACGGAGACACAGUCCAGACUCCUACGGGAGGCAGCAGUGGGGAAUAUUGCACAAUGGACGAAAGUCUGAUGCAGCAACGCCGCGUGGAGGAUGACACAUUUCGGUGCGUAAACUCCUUUUAUAUAGGAAGAUAAUGACGGUACUAUAUGAAUAAGCACCGGCUAACUCCGUGCCAGCAGCCGCCGUAA
rnacentral:rRNA from 1 species